GCUUGUCUCAAAGAUUAAGCCAUGCAUGUCUAAGUGUAAAUAAGUCUAUACUGUGAAACUGCGAAUGGCUCAUUAAAUCAGUUAUAGUUUAUUUGAUGGUUCUUGCUACUUGGAUAACCGUAGUAAUUCUAGAGCUAAUACAUGCGUCAAACCUCGACUUCUGGGAGAGGUGUAUUUAUUAGAUGGAAACCAAUGCAGGGCAACCUGGAAUAUGGUGAUUCAUAAUAACUCGCGGAUCGGUUUACCGAUGCAUCAUUCAAGUUUCUGCCCUAUCAGCUUUGGAUGGUAGGGUAUUGGCCUACCAUGGCUUUAACGGGUAACGGAGAAUUAGGGUUCGAUUCCGGAGAGGGAGCCUGAGAAAUGGCUACCACAUCCAAGGAAGGCAGCAGG
rnacentral:rRNA from 1 species